CUACUGCUGAAGAGUCCCAAACUAGGACGAAACAGUUGUCCAGUAC
rnacentral:hammerhead_ribozyme from 1 species